AUUUAAAUAGUUUAAUAAAAAUAUUGGUAUGUGAAAUCAAGGAUGUAAAAGUUACUUUAAAUU
rnacentral:tRNA from 1 species